UAGAAGAUUCAGAUGCCACACU
rnacentral:siRNA from 1 species